AUGCAUGAGUACCCCUUCAAUAUUGUGGACCACGAGUACUUGGUGGACUUUAUCCAUUCUUUGCGUCCAACUUUUCCAAUUAAAAGUCGCCCUGCUGUGAAGAAAGACAUAGUCAACAUAUUUAAAGAGGAAAAGAAGAAAUUGUAUGAGUACUUAAAAAUAGUGCAGUGCCGAUUUAGUGCCACCAUGGACAUGUGGACAUCUGGACAAACCAAAGGAUACAUGUGCAUCACUGUUCAUUGGAUAGAUGAAAAUUGGUGCAUGCAAAAGAGGAUUAUCAAGUUUAAUCAUGUACAGGGAAACCAUUCAGGAAAAAAUCUUGGCUUACACUUUUAUGAUUGCAUAGUGGAUUGGAAUCUUGACAGGAAAUUGCUUUCAGUCAGUUUGGACAAUGCUUCAGCCAAUGAUAAGUGUGUUGAGGGGCUAGUAACCAAAUUCAGUAAGAAUAGUCUAAUCUUUGAUGGCAUAUUUUUUUCAUGUAAGAUGUUUCAAUCACAUCCUAAACCUACUCGUUCAAGAUGGUUUGAAGACAAUUGCAACAUCUAUUGCAAAUAUUAG
rnacentral:rRNA from 1 species